GUACUUUAGAGAACUUCCUUUACCUCUUAUUCCCUCUGAGCGAUUCAAGGAGCUUGCAGAUGCACUAGACAUUGCCGAUCCAUAUCUCAGGGCCGACAGCAUGCUGACUCUGUUGCAGGCUCUACCAGAUGUAAACCGCAACACUCUCCUCUUCCUCUUACAUCACCUGAGACGUGUUGCAGAGAGGAAGGGAGAGAAUAAAAUGUCUCUGAGUAAUUUGGCCACAGUGUUUGGCCCCAGCCUUUUGCGCCCUCCAGUGGCUCGUGUCGACAUAUCUCAAGAAGUGGAGGUUCAGGUUCAGGUGAUUUUUCUCUAUCUGCAGUAUCAGAACCUUCCAGAAGCUCUUCUCACAAAACAUCAGGACAUUGAUGAUCUAGAGACAUGAGCCUUCAACAACCAGACUCCUUUUCUGUCUCCGUGUCCAUGGUCAUAUCUGUACAUUUGUAAAAAUUGUUUAACUUGCUUUAUUUUACAGAUGAAUAAAACAAAAUAUUCUAUUUUAAGGUUUUUAUUGUCAUUAAAAAUGACAUGACCACGAG
ensembl:lncRNA